rnacentral:hammerhead_ribozyme from 1 species
AUCCAUCUGACGAGUCCCAAAUAGGACGAAGUAGCACACAUUGUGGAU